UACGUAGGAUGCAAGCGUUGUCCGGAUUUACUGGGCGUAAAGCGCGCGCAGGCGGCUCUCUAAGUACGCUGUGAAAUAUCCCGGCUCAACCGGGAGGGUGCAGUGUAGACUAGGGAGCUAGAGGUCGGUAGAGGGGGGUGGAAUUGCUGGUGUAGCGGUGAAAUGCGUUGAUAUCAGGAGGAACACCCAUGGCGAAGGCAGUUCACUGGGCAUCAUCUGACGCUGAGGCGCGAAAGCGUGGGUAGCAAACAGG
rnacentral:rRNA from 1 species